AGAACGGAUUAGAUACCCUGGUAGUCCACGCCCUAAACGAUGCCAACUAGGUGUUGGGGAAGGAGACUUCCUUAGUACCGUAGCUAACGCGUGAAGUUGGCCGCCUGGGGAGUACGGUCGCAAGAUUAAAACUCAAAGGAAUUGACGGGGACCCGCACAAGCGGUGGAUGAUGUGGAUUAAUUCGAUGCAACGCGAAAAACCUUACCUACCCUUGACAUGCCAGGAACCCUGCUGAGAGGUGGGGGUGCUCGAAAGAGAGCCUGGACACAGGUGCUGCAUGGCUGUCGUCAGCUCGUGUCGUGAGAUGUUGGGUUAAGUCCCGCAACGAGCGCAACCCUUGUCAUUAGUUGCCAUCAUUUAGUUGGGCACUCUAAUGAGACUGCCGGUGACAAACCGGAGGAAGGUGGGGAUGACGUCAAGUCCUCAUGGCCCUUAUGGGUAGGGCUUCACACGUCAUACAAUGGUCGGUACAGAGGGUUGCCAAGCCGCGAGGUGGAGCCAAUCCCAGAAAGCCGAUCGUAGUCCGGAUCGGAGUCUGCAACUCGACUCCGUGAAGUCGGAAUCGCUAGUAAUCGUGGAUCAGCAUGCCACGGUGAAUACGUUCCCGGGUCUUGUACACACCGCCCGUCACACCAUGGGAGCGGGUCUCGCCAGAAGUAGUUAGCCUAACCGCAAGGAGGGCGAUUACCACGGCGGGGUUCGUGACUGGGGUGAAGUCGUAACAAGGUAUAUCU
rnacentral:rRNA from 1 species